UGUAAAACCGGAAAGCAAGUUCCAUUGAAUCGCACCGAAUUGUCUCCACAUCCGUCGGAUGGAAAGUCUACUCCUGUCACUGGCAUCGUGAUUUGUUACCCGCAAAACGGAAAACUUGUAAACUAACAUCGGUUGGUAUCCGGGAUAGUUGCACAUUUUGGCUUUUCAGAUAUCCAUCCGCGUUUGUCGUCGCACUGUAGAACGACAGCUGGACUCACAUUUCCAAACAUCUCGUCUGUGUUUCACACUGUUGUUUCUUGACCGUAUGAAUGAGCUAGUUCAUGACGUGGUGUCCGAAAUGAAACUAAACGUAUUCUUGGUGUCGCACCUUUUUACGUUAAAUGUUUUUCCAAAAUGCGGUUUCUCUGAGCUACCGUAAGAACCAAGUGGAGCGUAGUUUUGCUGUGGAGACGGUUGGGUGCGGUAAUUGGAGGUAUUGUCGAGUUUAUUGCCUGCGCCACUGGAGUUGCAACUGUUUGGAUUUUGUCUACGGUAGUGAUAUCUCGCAACAACUUUAACUGCCGCGUUGGUUAAAGCCGUUGAUGAUGAUUGCACGAAGAAUUCUGAUUGAUGGGAGAUGGCCCUACCUAGGAGGAACUAAAUCGUAAAUCCCGCACGGCUGCCUCCGUCAUUUUUCAUGACCCAGCGAGUUUCGUGUCUUUUUUUAAAGAAUGAUGCCCUUUUCGUUUACUCGAAGAGCUUUUUGUCGCUUCUUUUGAUUUUAUGCGACUUGACCUGCUGGAUGCGGGGAACUUCUUUGCUACAUGGACUUUCGUGGCCCCAUUUCGGAAUAUCAAGUAGGCUGUCGUGUCAACAGACAAACAUGGUACAUAGGGCUAACCUUUAAUUAUUCACAAGACCAUCUACGACGACAAGGUCAUCAAAAGGUUUGCAGAUUUUCCGUUGGCGACAUAAUACUUCCAAAUCCAAUGGCUGUGGAAUAUGUGUGGAAUGUCCUAGUAAGAUACGAUACAAAAUAAAAGGCAUAUUCGUAAACACACAGCAUCGACAUCUAGUGAUCAGGAGACAUACUACACAAACGUAAAUCCUGAGGCGGAAAAACAAAAAAGACGAAAAAAGAAAAAAUAUACAAACAAAAAUAAAAUAAAUCCCCCAGACCCCCACCUUUAUCAAGUUUAUGCAAUAUUGCGUAUUAAGAAAAUUCGAACUCUCCUUCACUUUAAAAUAAAAGUAUAACAGUGCAACACUGCAAAACUGCCGAGCUAUUUUAGUGUGAACACUGAACAGUGAACAGUGAGAACCAGUUGGUACUUCCAACAGGCUCCCGAAAUAAGCUUUCGUCGUCGUGACGUUUGAACGUUUCAAGAAAGCUGAUUGAUCAUAUCAGAAUGAUUUAACUGUCGAGUGAAGGAUUUGCGUUCGAGACAAUUCGCAAACCGUAAAUGACUAAAUGGAUCAAUCGAGUUUCGCCAUUUUGAUUCUGUGUCUGAGUGUCUCAACGAUUCCACUUGUAUGGUCUGCUGCACGCCCAAAGUCUCAGACAGCAGCAAAAUGCAAGUGCUCCGUGAUUUUAUCGUAUCCAAAAUAUGAAAAUUAUUUGUUAGCUGCCUAGACUGUCAUGUGAUUGGAAAAAUGACGACACGCCUGGCAUC
rnacentral:lncRNA from 1 species